rnacentral:rRNA from 1 species
CACGUAGUUAGCCGGGGCUUCUUAGUCAGGUACCGUCAUUUUUUUUCUUCCCUGCUGAUAGAGCUUUACAUACCGAAAUACUUCUUCACUCACGCGGCGUCGCUGGAUCAGGGUUUCCCCCAUUGUCCAAUAUUCCCCACUGCUGCCUCCCGUAGGAGUUUGGGCCGUGUCUCAGUCCCAAUGUGGCCGUCCACCCUCUCAGGCCGGCUACUGAUCGUCGCCUUGGUGGGCCGUUACCUCACCAACCAGCUAAUCAGACGCGGGUCCAUCAUAUACCACCGUAGUUUUUCACACUGUCUCAUGCAAUACUGUGCGCUUAUGCGGUAUUAGCACCUAUUUCUAAGUGUUACUCCCCCUGUAUAUGGACUAGGUUACCCACGCGUUACUCACCCGUCCGCCACUAGUCAUCAACACUUUCCACUCUUACGCAAGCUAAUUGCUUACAAAAAUGAUGACUCCGUUCACUUGCAUGUAGUAGACCACGCC